GUUGCGGUGGCCGAGUGGUUAAGGCGUUGGACUAGAAAUCCAAUGGGAUCUUCCCGCGCAGGCCCGAAUCCUGCCCGCAACG
rfam:Nematostella vectensis strain CH2 x CH6 NEMVEscaffold_9579_Cont56186, whole genome shotgun sequence.